CAAUGACAAGAGAUCCUGAGUUGGUGGUCUUUCCCGCUGCAUGAGGCUUCAGUGUGCCCUUAGACCAUGGAAGGUGCCCUUGGCCCAUAAAUGUCUGCAAUGUUCAGUUGUGGACAGACACCGGCAGGAAAGGUGGUGGAGAUGAUGUUGACGAAGGGCAUCACAUGGAUGAUAACUAGGAGGCAGCCAAGGACAGAUUCUAUGGAUGCCAUAGGCAACAAUCCAAGUUUGGGAAGCAAAACCAUUGACAAUGAUUCUCUGACAUGGAUGAGAAUGAAAAAAGGUCCAUUAAGCCUGGUUACAUUUCCAAAGUUCCAAGUUCUCUGGUUUAUUUUACUGGAAGCUCUCUACAGCUCACAAUGUUCAAUGCUCAGCACUUC